rnacentral:lncRNA from 1 species
GGAAAUACAGCUGAGAGCCUCUGUUGACAGAUGGAUGCCUUCUUAAUCACAGCCUGUGACACCCACAUGACUAGGAGGAGGCAGAAAGUGAAUAGGGAGCUCUUAUUACUUUUUGAGUGUCAGCAAGACAGAAGUGCUUGCCUUGGUGAUCCAAAAAAGGCAGGAUCCGGCCGGGGGCAAGGUGAUUAUUCUGUCUGAUGAGGAGAAUAAGAGCCAGUUUGUGGUAUUGACAGAAGAAUGAAAGUAAAGAUGUAUAAGGAGACCAUUUUAUUCUCAAGUAAUAAAGUUAAUGAAUCUGAUUUCAAAUAAUAUCUUUAAAAUGAAAAUGCUCAUAGAAGGAGUUAGGAAAGUUCAAUCAAAAUUGUCAAUAAGAGAAGAUUUCUACUUCUGAGAAGAUGGAGUAGACAUACAUCUACAAAACGGAUAGACCUUAAAAGAGAAAUAGACAAGACUACAAUUAUACUUCAAGGUUUCAACAUCCCUUUCUCAGCAACUGACAGAACUGAACAAAAA